rnacentral:rRNA from 1 species
UACGGGGGGAGCAAGCGUUGUUCGGAUUUACUGGGCGUAAAGGGCGCGUAGGCGGCCACCGCAAGUCGACUGUGAAAUCUCCGGGCUUAACCCGGAGCGGCCAAGUGAUACUGUCGUGCUAGAGUGCGGAAGGGGCUACUGGAAUUCUCGGUGUAGCGGUGAAAUGCGCAGAUAUCAGGAAGAACACCCGUGGCGAAGGCGGUUCUCUGGGACGGUACUGACGCUGAGACGCGAAAGCGUGGGGAGCGAACAGG